UUAAGCGUUAAGGGGCGUGUGGCGGAUGCCUUGGCACUGGAAGACGAUGAAGGACGUGGUAUACUGCGAUAAGUUACGGGGAGCUGUAUGCAAGUUUUGAUCCGUAAAUAUCCGAAUGGGGAAACCCAGCACUUUAUGUGUUACUUUAAACUGAAUACAUAGGUUUAAAGAGAUAACCCGGAGAACUGAAACAUCUAAGUAACCGGAGGAAAAGAAAUCAAUUGAGAUUCCGUUAGUAGUGGCGAGCGAAAGCGGAUUAGGCCAGUAGAUUUGUUAAAAAAAUUUGAAUAGUUUGGAAAAGCUAACCACAGAGGGUGAUAGUCCCGUAUGAGUAAUGUUUAACAAGUUUCUUGAGUAAAGCGGGACACGUGAAAUCCUGCUCGAAUAUAGGGGGACCACCCUCUAAGCCUAAAUACUCUUCAGUGACCGAUAGUGAACUAGUACCGUGAGGGAAAGGUGAAAAGAACCCCUAUUAGGGGAGUGAAAUAGAACCUGAAACCGCAUGCCUACAAUCAGUCGAAGCUCUUUUUAGAGUGACGGCGUACCUUUUGUAUAAUGGGUCAGUGACUUAAUUUAUAAAGCAAGCUUAAGCCAUCUAGGUGUAGGCGUAGCGAAAGCAAGUCUUAAUAGGGCGAUUAGUUUUAUGAAUUAGACCCGAAAACGAAUGAGCUUACCAUGAGCAGGUUGAAUGCAAGGUAACACUUGCUGGAGGACCGAACCAGUUGACGUUGAAAAGUCUUUGGAUGACUUGUGGUAAGGGGUGAAAGGCCAACCAAAUUCGUAGAUAGCUGGUUUUCCGCGAAAACUAUUUAGGUAGUGCGUUGAAUAAAUAUGCGUUUAGAGGUAGAGCACUAAAUGGGCUAGGGGGAAGAGAUUCUUACCAAACCUAAUAAAACUCCGAAUGCUGAACGUAGUUCUUCAACAGACAGACUGUGGGUGCUAAGGUCCAUGGUCGAGAGGGAAAGAGCCCAGACCACCAGAUAAGGUCCCAAAAUUGUGAUUAAGUGUGAAAGGAUGUGGAAAUUCCUUAACAGCCGGGAGGUUGGCUUAGAAGCAGCCAUCCUUUAAAGAUAGCGUAACAGCUCACCGGUCUAAUAGAGUUUCUGCGCCGAAGAUGUAACGGGGCUAAAAUCACAUACCGAAUCUGUGGGUUUAUAAAGUUUUCGAACUUUAUAAGCGGUAGCGGAACGUUCUGUAAGCCUGUAAAGGGAUACCCGUGAGGGAUCCUGGAGGUAUCAGAAGUGCGAAUGCUGACAUGAGUAACGAUAAAAGAAGUGAAAAACUUCUUCGCCGAAAAUCCAAGGGUUUCUGCGCAAGGUUAAUCCGCGCAGAGUUAGUCGGCCCCUAAGGCGAGGGCGAAAGCCGUAGUCGAUGGAAAUAAGGUUAAUAUUCCUUAACCAGAUGGUAGUGACGGAUUUUGUAAGUUGUGUGUUCUUAAUGGAUUGAACAUGCCGCGAAAAAGUCCCAGGAAAUAGCUCCAUCAUUAGACCGUACCCUAAACCGACACAGGUGGAUUAAUAGAGUAUAUUUAGGCGCUUGAGAGAAUGAUGUUGAAGGAACUCGGCAAAAUGCUUCUGUAACUUCGGAAUAAAGAAGACCUUUUAGUGGGCAACCAUUAGAGGGUGGCACAAGCCAGGGAGAAGCGACUGUUUAUCAAAAACACAGGGCUCUGCUAACACGUAAGUGGAUGUAUAGGGUCUGACGCCUGCCCGGUGCUGGAAGGUUAAUGCGAUGGGUGCAAGCUCAUUUCUGAAGCCCCAGUAAACGGCGGCCGUAACUAUAACGGUCCUAAGGUAGCGAAAUUCCUUGUCGGGUAAGUUCCGACCUGCAUGAAUGGCGUAACGAUUUCUCCGCUGUCUCCAACAUCAACUCAGUGAAAUUGAAUUCUCCGUGAAGAUGCGGAGUUCGCGUAGUUAGACGGAAAGACCCCGUGCACCUUUACUGCAACUUUACAUUGGUGUUAGGAAAAACAUAUUUAGCAUAGGAGGGAGACAUUGAAGCAAUGGCGUCAGUUUUUGUGGAGUCACCAGUGAAAUACCUCUUUUGUUUUUCUUGGCAUCUAACUGAUUGCCGUUAUCCGGCAUCAAGACAUUGUAUGGUGGGUAGUUUGACUGGGGCGGUCGCCUCCCA
rnacentral:rRNA from 1 species